rnacentral:rRNA from 1 species
AGUGGAUGGGGAGCAACCUAGUUGUGCGUGUGUAAAGGUAGUGCCAAGAAAAGCGAUGAUCAUGUUGAAAAUCAAUUCCCGGUACCCGAAACCGACACAGGUGGGCAAGUAGAGAAUACUAAGGGGCGCGUGGUAACUCUCUCCAAGGAACUCGGCAAAAUGACCCCGUAACUUAGGGAGAAGGGGUGCCACCGAGAGGUGGUCGCAGUGAAGAGGCCCAGGCGACUGUUUAGCAAAAACAUAGGUCUCUGCAAACUCGAAAGAGGAGGUAUAGGGGCUGACGCCUGCCCAGUGCCGGAAGGUUAAAGAAGUAGGUCAGUUUUAGGAUGAAGCUAGCGACUGAAGCCCCGGUGAACGGCGGCCGUAACUAUAACGGUCCUAAGGUAGCGAAAUUCCUUGUCGGGUAAGUUCCGACCCGCACGAAAGGCGUAACGAUCUGGGCGCUGUCUCGGAGAGAGGCUCGGCGAAAUAGGAUUGUCUGUGAAGAUACGGACUACCUGCAUUUGGACAGAAAGACCCUAUGAAGCUUUACUAUAGCUUGGGAUUGUGUUCGGGCUUCCUGUGCGCAGGAUAGGUGGGAGGCGUAGAAGGUAUUCUUGUGGGGAUACUGGAGCCAACGGUGAGAUACCACUCUCAGGAGGCUAGAAUUCUAACUUAAUUAAGGACAGUUUCAGGUGGGUAGUUUGACUGGGGCGGUCGCCUCCAAAAAGGUAACGGAGGCGUACAAAGGUUCCCUCAGACUGGUUGGAAAUCAGUCGAAGAGUGCAAAGGCAGAAGGGAGCUUGACUGCGAGAAGUACAGUUCGAGCAGGGUGGAAACACGGUCUUAGUGAUCCGACGGUGCUGUGUGGAAGGGCCGUCGCUCAACGGAUAAAAGUUACUCUAGGAUAACAGGCUGAUCUCCCCCAAGAGUUCACAUCGACGGGGAGGUUUGGCACCUCGAUGUCGGCUCAUCGCAACCUGGGGCGGAAGUACGUCCCAAGGGUUGGGCUGUUCGCCCAUUAAAGCGGUACGUGAGCUGGGUUCAGAACGUCGUGAGACAGUUCGGUCCAUAUCCGAUGUAGGCGUGAGAAUAUUGAGAGGAGCCUUCCUUAGUACGAGAGGACCGGGAAGGACGCACCGCUGGUGUACCUGUUAUGAUGCCAAUUGUAAACGCAGGGUAGCCAAGUGCGGAGAGGAUAACCGCUGAAAGCAUCUAAGUGGGAAGCCCACCUCAAGAUGAGUAUUCUGGUGUAAGGUCACGGGAAGGCGACCCGUAAAUAGGCACGAGGUGGAAGUGCAGAGAUGUAUGAAGCCGAAGUGUACUAAUAGACCGUCGGCUUGAUC